UACGUAGGGAGCAAGCGUUGUCCGGAAUCAUUGGGCGUAAAGCGCGCGUAGGCGGCCCGAUAAGUCCGCUGUGAAAGUCAACGGCUCAACUGUUGGAUGCCGGUGGAUACUGUCGGGCUAGAGUACGGAAGAGGCAAGUGGAAUUCCUGGUGUAGCGGUGGAAUGCGCAGAUAUCAGGAGGAACACCUAUAGCGAAGGCAGCUUGCUGGGACGUUACUGACGCUAAGGCGCGAAAG
rnacentral:rRNA from 1 species